UAUAAAAAAGUGUAAGACGCACAUGAAUUUUUGAUAUUCAAGGUAAAAGUUUAAUUCUUUAAUUUAUAG
rnacentral:tRNA from 1 species